GACGAACGCUGGCGGCGUGCCUAAUACAUGCAAGUUGAGCGCUCAAGCUUGGUACUUGUACCAACUGGAUGAGCAGCGGACGGGUGAGUAACGCGUGGGGAAUCUGCCUUUGAGCGGGGGACAACAUUUGGAAACGAAUGCUAAUACCGCAUAAAAACUUUAAACACAAGUUUUAAGUUUGAAAGAUGCAAUUGCAUCACUCAAAGAUGAUCCCGCGUUGUAUUAGCUAGUUGGUGAGGUAAAGGCUCACCAAGGCGAUGAUACAUAGCCGACCUGAGAGGGGUAUCGGCCACAUUGGGACUGAGGAACGGCCCAAACUUCUACGGGAGGCAGCAGGAGGGAAUCUUCGGCAAUGGACGAAAGGCUGACCGAGCAACGCCGCGUGAGUGAAGAAGGUUUUCGGAUCGGAAAACUCUGUUGGUAGAGAAGAACGUUGGGGAGAGUGGAAAGCGCAUCAAGUGACGGUAACUACCCAGAAAGGGACGGCUAACUACGUG
rnacentral:rRNA from 1 species